ensembl:snoRNA SNORA66 Small nucleolar RNA SNORA66
CUUUAAAAUUGCAUCAACCUAAGGGAACCAGUUUUGCUCAGGUAAUUGUGGUGACAGGAAUGUGUUAGCCUCCGAAGCUUCUGAAUGUUCAAUCCUCAUACGGUAUAAGA